rnacentral:rRNA from 1 species
GACGAACGCUGGCGGCGUGCUUAACACAUGCAAGUCGAACGGAAAGGCCCUGCUUUUGUGGGGUGCUCGAGUGGCGAACGGGUGAGUAACACGUGAGUAACCUGCCCUUGACUUUGGGAUAACUUCAGGAAACUGGGGCUAAUACCGGAUAGGAGCUCCUGCUGCAUGGUGGGGGUUGGAAAGUUUCGGCGGUUGGGGAUGGACUCGCGGCUUAUCAGCUUGUUGGUGGGGUAGUGGCUUACCAAGGCUUUGACGGGUAGCCGGCCUGAGAGGGUGACCGGGCACAUUAGGACUGAGAUACGGCGCAGACUCCUACGGGAGGCAGCAGUGGGGAAUAUUGCACAAUGGGCGGAAGCCUGAUGCAGCAACGCCGCGUGCGGGAUGACGUCCUUCGGGUUGUAAACCACUUUCGCCUGUGACGAAGCGUGAGUGACGGUAAUGGGUAAAGAAGCACCGGCUAACUACGUG